UGUCAUGCCAAUAAAAAAAAAAAAAAAAAAAAAAAUUCUUUCGCCUUUUACUAAAGAAUUCCGUGGAGAGGAGCAGUUCAAUGAGUCUUGAUCAUUUUUCGAUAUUACCCGACUUUGGUCGGUUU
rnacentral:snRNA from 1 species